UUAAUAAUUAACGAUAUUGGUUUGCUCAAAAUUAUGAGUAACUAAGAGGGAAUCAGGUGAAAAUCCUGAACAGUCCUGCUGCCGUAUGAUGGAGCGGUUCUCUAAAAGCAAGAUUUAUUUUUUGCUAUAUAUGCCACUGGGUAAAUCAGCCCGGGAAGGUGAGAACUUUGCUAUGAUAUCUGAGUCGGAAGACCUGCCAGUAUUUCUGCAGAUGC
rnacentral:ncRNA from 2 species